rnacentral:rRNA from 1 species
AGAGUUUGAUCCUGGCUCAGAAUGAACGCUGGCGGCGUGCUUAACACAUGCAAGUCGAACGAGAACGGGAUUGCUUGCAAUCCUUAGUAGAGUGGCGCACGGGUGAGUAACACGUAGAUAAUCUACCUCCAAGCCCGGGAUAACUAUUCGAAAGGAUGGCUAAUACCGGAUGAAGUGGUUUGACAUAAGUUGAAUCAUGAAAGAUUGCCUCUUCUUGAAAGCAAUUGUUUGGAGAUGAGUCUGCGGACCAUUAGUUUGUUGGUGGGGUAAAGGCCUACCAAGACUACGAUGGUUAGCUGGUCUGAGAGGAUGAUCAGCCACACUGGAACUGGAACACGGUCCAGACUCCUACGGGAGGCAGCAGUGAGGAAUUUUGCGCAAUGGGGGAAACCCUGACGCAGCAACGCCGCGUGAGUGAAGAAGGCCCUUGGGUCGUAAAGCUCUGUCGACAGGGAAGAAAUUACUUCAUAUUAAUAGUGUGUUGUAUUGACGGUACCUGUAGAGGAAGCACCGGCUAACUCCGUGCCAGCAGCCGCGGUAAUACGGGGGGUGCAAGCGUUAUUCGGAAUUAUUGGGCGUAAAGGGCGCGUAGGCGGUCUUGUCGGUCAGAUGUGAAAGCCCGGGGCUCAACCCUGGAAGUGCAUUUGAAACAGCAAGACUUGAGUACGGGAGAGGAGAGCGGAAUUCCUGGUGUAGAGGUGAAAUUCGUAGAUAUCAGGAGGAACACCGAUGGCGAAGGCAGCUCUCUGGACCGAUACUGACGCUGAGGCGCGAAGGUGUGGGUAGCGAACGGGAUUAGAUACCCCGGUAGUCCACACAGUAAACGUUGUUCACUCGGUGUAGCGGAUAUUAAAAUCUGCUGUGCCCAAGCUAACGCAGUAAGUGAACCGCCUGGGGAGUACGGUCGCAAGACUAAAACUCAAAGGAAUUGACGG